CUCCAUUCUGCCUGUCUUAGCUUUCCAACCCGUAAUCAUGAGUGCCAUGAAAACACCAUGAAAUGUACAUUUGUGCUCCCAGAUCAGAUAUCCAGAGCUGGUGGUCCAGAUGUUUCUUCAUUCUGUCCAGCCUCACCAGUGGAACCAUUCAAGUAAAGAAAGGCUUCUGCUCUGCCAUAUCCUGCCUCCCCUCCUGCAAAAAGCCUGAGGCUUUGCUUCCUCCAGGAGAGGGCAAUGGCCUCCAGGGCUGCCCCUCCCUCCAUGCAGGCUGAAGCCAGAGAUCUGCUGCAGUCAGUUUGCUUUACAGAACAGGUCAGAGGCUCUUCCCAGCAGGAGCCAAAGUCUACAUAUCCAGGUAAGGGGUCCGGGGUGGGGGCAAGGGAUGUAGGCUACUUCUUACCAAUGUGCUUAUCGCUUGUGUUUUCUGUUGGAAUUCUUGGGUCCCUGAUCCUGCACCAAUGGAAAAGGACCUCAUCAGGGAGGCUACUACCAGAGACUGCUUCUCUGGGUGCCAUACCCUGUGGAGGGCCAGGCCAACAGAACACUGGGUGCUUCAACAGGGCUUCCCAGGCUGGGUUCCUUGGGAUGCAGGAGGCCACCUGGCUUUCCAGUGGCUUGGGAGAAGUUCUGCCAGAAAUGGCUCCUCAGCGGCACCUGACUGCCAGCGAGGUCACAUCUUUCUUGUGCUUAUUAGCCUGUUUUUUUCCCAGAGGGAAAGGGACCACACCCUGUUAGGCAGGAAAAUAGAUAUGAGUGGGAUGGAAAGAGAAUAAGUCCAGGAAAAAGCCCACUAAAAAUGACCCAGAGUGGAUCAGUUAAAGCUCAAAAAGCCUGGAGCAACUUGGCCUGGAAUGUUUGAAUAUUCCCCAGAGAAAGGAGGAUAUGUCAGCAUAGCCCAUGGCUUUAUUGUGUUAAUCAUGCAGGCCCAGCUUAUUUUUUUGACUUAACCUACAUGCUGUUUUUUUUUUCUCCUUUGGCCCUAAUCAAGUAGUUUGCAUUCUGGGCAAUUAAUAAUGGCAAGUAAGCCCAGCAUAAACAACAUAGUCACAGGCAGGAAGGAUUUCAUCUUAAAAAUAAGAUUGUGUUUUAAUACCCAGGAAGUUGAGAAGAUUCUUAACUUACUCUUUAGCAAACAGACAAUAACUCAGCCCACCCUCCGGGGGCAGGGGAAGCAGUCUUGUUUGAUAUGCUCCCAGACCAAGAAGGCUCUGGCUCCCAGGGAGAAAUCACAGCAGGAAGUUGCUUGUGUUAAGUUAGUUCUAAGUAUUAUUCAGAGACCACCUAACAGGUCUGCAACCCCAGCCCUUAGUCACAUUCCUGAAGAAUCCUUAAAAGGGGGAACCCCCAAGCUCUCAGGGCACUCCUCUCCCUGAGGUUGCCUGCACUUCCUAAGUGCAUAACCUUUUCACUUUAAACUUUCUUUUCAACCUUUCAGGGUGCUGUCUCUCUCUGAAGUUGCAUGCACUUUUUCUGUAAGUAACUUUAAAUAAAACUUUUCCUCUGCUUCA